rnacentral:rRNA from 1 species
GACGAACGCUGGCGGCGUGCCUAAUACAUGCCAGUAGAACGCUGAAGGAGGAGCUUGCUUCUCCGGAUGAGUUGCGAACGGGCGAGUAACGCGUAGGUAACCUGCCUGGUAGCGGGGGAUAACUAUUGGAAACGAUAGCUAAUACCGCAUAAGAGUAGAUGUUGCAUGACAUUUGCUUAAAAGGUGCAAUUGCAUCACUACCAGAUGGACCUGCGUUGUAUUAGCUAGUUGGUGAGGUAACGGCUCACCAAGGCGACGAUACAUAGCCGACCUGAGAGGGGGAUCGGCCACACUGGGAAUGAGACACGGCCCAGACUCCUACGGGAGGCAGCAGGAGGGAAACUUCGGCAAUGGACGGAAGGCUGAACGAGCAACGCCGCGGGAGGGAAGAAGGGUUUCGGAUCGUAAAGCUCUGUUGUAAGAGAAGAACGAGUGUGAGAGUGGAAAGUUCACACUGUGACGGUAUCUUACCAGAAAGGGACGGCUAACUACGUG